rnacentral:tRNA from 1 species
AGUUAAUGAGCUUGUUAAAGCUUAUAUUUUGAAAAUAUACUAAAGAGUUAUAUCCUCUAUUAACUU